rnacentral:rRNA from 1 species
CUAGACAUAAUAAUAAGUUAAAUGUCCGCCCGGGUACUACGAGCAUCAGCUUGAAACCCAAAGGNCCUGACGGUGCCUUAGACCCCCCUAGAGGAGCCUGUUCUAUAACCGAUAACCCCCGUUAAACCUCACCACUUCUAGCCAUCCCAGCCUAUAUACCGCCGUCGUCAGCUUACCCUGUGAAGGUAAUAAAAGUAAGCACAAUGGAUAUAAUUCAGAACGUCAGGUCGAGGUGUAGCGUACGAGUGGAAAGAAUGGGCUACAUUUU